AUUGACGCUGGCGGCGGUGCCUAACACAUGCAAGUCGAGCGGCAGAGCGCGGUAGCAAUCUGGCGGCGAGCGGCGAACGGGUGAGUAAUGCUUCGGAAUCUGCCCAAUGGUGGGGAAUAACUAGCCGAAAGGUUAGCUAAUACCGCAUACGACCUACGGGUGAAGCAGGGGAUCGCAAGAGCCUUGCGCCGAUGGAUGAGCCGAAGUCGGAUUAGCUAGUUGGUAGGGUAAGCGGCCUACCAAGGCGACGAUCCGUAGCUGGUCUGAGAGGACGACCAGGCCACACUGGGACUGAGACACGGCCCAGGACUCCUAAGGGAGGCAGCAGUGGGGAAUAUUGGACAAUGGGGGCAACCCUGAUCCAGCGACGCCGCGUGUGUGAAGAAGGCCUGCGGGUUGUAAAGCACUUUUAGUGGGGAUGAAAAGCUCAGAGUCUAACACCUCUGGGUCUUGACCUAACCCAAAGAAAAAGCACCGGCUAACUCUGUGCCAGCAGCCGCGGUAAUACAGAGGGUGCGAGCGUUAAUCGGAAUUACUGGGCGUAAAGCGUGCGUAGACGGUUAUGUAAGUCGUAUGUGAAGCCCCGGCUUAACUGGGAAUUGCAUUCGAGACUGCAUAGCUAGGAUGCGGAAGAGGGGAAGUGGAAUUUCCGGUGUAGCGGUGAAAUGCGUAGAUACGGAAGGAACAUCAGUGGCGAAAGCGACUUCCUGGUCCAGCAUCGACGUUCAGGCACGACAAGCGUGGGAGCAAACAGGAUUAGAUACCCUGGUAGUCCACGCCAUAAACGAUGAGAAACUAGACGUUGAGAGGGUAAGCCUCCAGUGUCGUAGCUAACGCGAUAAGUUCUCCGACUGGGGAGUACGGCCGCAAGGUUUGAAACUCAAAGGAAUUUGACGGGGACCCGCACAGCGGUGGAGCAUGUGGUUUAAUUGCGAUGCAUACGCGAAGAACCUUACCUGGUCUUGACAUCCUGGGAACCCCGAAGAGAUUUGGGGGGUGCCGCAAGGAGCCCAGAGACAGGUGCUGCAUGGCUGUCGUCAGCUCGUGUCGUGAGAUGUUUGGGUUAAGUCCCGCAAACGAGCGCAAACCAUUGUCCCUUAGUUGCCCGCAUUCAGUUGGGCACUCUAAUGGAGACCGCCGAUUGCUGACAAACCGGAGGUAAGGUGGGGAUGACGUCAAGUCCUCAUGGCCCUUUUAUGGUACAGGGCUUACACACGGAAUACAAUGCCGUAGAUACAGAGGGCAGCCAACGCGCGAGGGAGGAGCCAAUCCCAGAAAAUCCGGUAUCGUAGUCCGGAUUGGCAGUCUGCAACUCGACUGCAUGAAGUCGGAAGUCGCUAGUAAUCGCAGGAUCAGCAUGCGCGGUGAAUACGUUCCCGGGUCUUGUACACCACCGCCCGUCACACCAUGGGAGUGGAUUGCCACCAGAAGUAGGUAGCCUGACCGCAAGGAGGGCGACUACCCCACGGUGAGAUUCAAUGACUGGGGUG
rnacentral:rRNA from 1 species